UACGUAGGGUGCGAGCGUUAAUCGGAAUUACUGGGCGUAAAGCGUGCGCAGGCGGUGAUGUAAGACAGAUGUGAAAUCCCCGGGCUCAACCUGGGAACUGCAUUGGUGACUGCAUUGCUGGAGUAUGGCAGAGGGGGGUGGAAUUCCACGUGUAGCAGUGAAAUGCGUAGAGAUGUGGAGGAACACCGAUGGCGAAGGCAGCCCCCUGGGUCAAGAUUGACGCUCAUGCACGAAAGCGUGGGGAGCAAACAGG
rnacentral:rRNA from 1 species